UACAGAGGUCUCAAGCGUUGUUCGGAUUCAUUGGGCGUAAAGGGUGCGUAGGCGGCGCGGUAAGUCGGGUGUGAAAUCUCGGAGCUUAACUCCGAAACUGCAUUCGAUACUGCCGUGCUUUGAGGACUGGAGAGGAGACUGGAAUUUACGGUGUAGCGGUGAAAUGCGUAGAUAUCGUAAGGAAGACCAGUGGCGAAGGCGGGUCUCUGGACAGUCCUGACGCUGAGGCACGGAAGGUCAGGGGAGCAAACGGG
rnacentral:rRNA from 1 species